CAGGUGUCAAUUUUUCCUUAAAGCAUUUAGCCCAAAGCCCAUAAUCAGUUUCUUUCUUCCUUCUCCCUCCACGGUGACCAGCCGGAGUCGAAAUUAAUGGCGUGCAAGAAGCCGCAAGGGAACACUAAACCGGCGGCGAAUAAGCCGAACCAGAAGCGGAUGAGCAACGCCGAGCGGUCGGCGUACUUUGCACGUAGAGAAGCCGCCAAGGUUUUGCGUACUAUUCUACAAGGAGACUCUCGGCGUCGAGCCGUCGGGUCCAUCAAGUCGCUGGUGUAUAGUCCUUCCGUUAGGAACAAAAAAGCUACCUAUGCUUUGGUUUGUCAAACCCUCAAAUAUCUUCCCAUUAUCAAGGAUGUCUUUGACAUUGCCAAUGUGCUGAGUAGCAAGUGGAAGAGGCAAGAAGAAUUAAUGUAUAUAAUCUUGUAUGACAUUCUUUUUGGCCAGGAGGCUUUAUUAGCUGGUGAUGCAGAAAAAAUUCUUCUCCAGCGGAAGGAUGUGUUGCAGGCAGCUCUUGCCAAGCUUUUAGUGCGAAAGAAAGUAAAACAUGUCUCAGAUUUGAUGACUUCUUAUAAAAUCUCAGACCUUCCGAAACCUCGUUAUGCUCGUGUAAAUACUCUGAAGAUGGACGUAGAGUGUGCCCUGCUCGAAUUUAAGAAACAGUAUGAGGUCUGUCAGGAUGCCAUGGUUCCUGACCUGUUGAUUUUUCCACCAAGGACUGACCUGCAUGAUCAUCCUUUGGUGAAAAAUGGAAGUGUGUUUUUGCAGGGUAAGGCGAGUUCCAUGGUUGCAGUUGCUCUUGGGCCUAAACCCGGAUGGGAGGUCAUUGAUGCAUGUGCAGCACCAGGGAACAAAACUGUUCAUCUUGCUGCUCUAAUGAAGGGAAAAGGAAAGAUUAUUGCUUGUGAACUUAAUAUAGAAAGGGUUAAACGUCUGAAAGACACUGUUAAACUGGCUGGACCAACUAACGUGAAAGUCAAGCAUGAGGACUUCUUAAACUUGAGUCCUGAGGAUCCAGCAUACUCAAAGGUUCAAGCAAUACUUUUAGAUCCAUCAUGUUCUGGAUCUGGGACAGUUGUUGAUAGAUUAGAUCAUCUGCUCCCCUCAUAUACUGCAGCUUUGCAGAUUCCUCUGAUGUACAUAGACAAGAAAAGCUCGCUGCUUUCCAGAAAAAGGCUUUGGAACAUGCAUUAUCUUUUCCAGCUGUUGAGAGAGUUGUUUACAGCACAUGUUCUAUUAACCAAGUUGAGAAUGAAGAUGUAAUCAACUCUGUUCUGCCUCUUGCUUCUUCUUAUGGUUUUGAACUGACGACAGUCUUUCCCCAAUGGCCUCGCCGAGGUCAUCCAGUUUUUGAUGGAUCUCAACAUUUGCUGAGAACGGAUCUCAUAGAGGACAAGGAGGGCUUUUUUAUUGCUUUAUUUGUUAGAAAGGGAGCGAGCACUCCAGCCAAGCACAGCAGAGAUGUUGCAUACACUUUACGAGCUAUUCAACGAAGGAAGAAAAGAAGAAUAAAUUCUUUCUUCCACUUCAAAACUUUCGGUUUGUUCUUGCAGUCCUAGUUUAUACUUCUUUCAAACAGGCAAUUCACAAAUGAUAAAACCCCAGAGACAAUACCAGAAUUUUUGUCCAGAAAUGUAGUUUUGUGCCGAAGUUUUGUUAUUCCAUUUUCAGGUAUCUAAUUGUGUACUGAACAGUUAAAUGGCAAAAUCUUACCUGCAAUGGGCGUCUA